rnacentral:tRNA from 1 species
GUCAGGAUGGCCGAGUGGUCUAAGGCGCUGCGUUCAGGUCGCAGUCUGGUUUUCCAGGCGUGGGUUCGAAUCCCACUUCUGACA